ACGCACGCUGGCGGCGUGCUUCACACCUGCCAGUCGCACGGAAAGGCCCUGCUUUUGUGGGGUGCUCGAGUGGCGAACGGGUGAGUAACACGUGAGUAACCUGCCCUUGACUUUGGGAUAACUUCAGGAAACUGGGGCUAAUACCGGAUAGGAGCUCCUGCUGCAUGGUGGGGGUUGGAAAGUUUCGGCGGUUGGGGAUGGACUCGCGGCUUAUCAGCUUGUUGGUGGGGUAGUGGCUUACCAAGGCUUUGACGGGUAGCCGGCCUGAGAGGGUGACCGGCCACAUUGGGACUGAGAUACGGCCCAGACUCCUACGGGAGGCAGCAGUGGGGAAUAUUGCACAGUGGGCGGAAGCCUGAUGCAGCAACGCCGCGUGCGGGAUGACGUCCUGCGGGUUGUAAACCGCUUUCGCCUGAGACGAAGCGUGAGUGACGGUAAUGGGUAAAGAAGCACCGGCUAACUACGGG
rnacentral:rRNA from 1 species